rnacentral:rRNA from 1 species
GACGGAGGGUGCAAGCGUUAUCCGGAUUCACUGGGUUUAAAGGGUGCGUAGGUGGGUCUGUAAGUCCGUGGUGAAAUCUCCGAGCUUAACUUGGAAACUGCCAUGGAUACUAUAGGUCUUGAAUACUGUGGAGGUCAGCGGAAUAUGUCAUGUAGCGGUGAAAUGCUUAGAUAUGACAUAGAACACCAAUUGCGAAGGCAGCUGGCUACACAAAUAUUGACACUGAUGCACGAAAGCGUGGGGAUCAAACAGG